UCACAUUUCAACAAAAAGUUUCCGCACUUCAGCUUUGGUAUAUCCUAUUGUAUGUUUAUACGUGUUUAGAACAUGGGGCAGGUUAUAAGACAACAUUUGUAAUUUACAAUUAGAACAAAAACGUUGUAU
rnacentral:lncRNA from 1 species